rnacentral:lncRNA from 1 species
GGAAAGCAGUGGAGGUUGCUCUUGGCCCGAAAUUUAGCCGAGAAAAAUGCGAUGUUAAGUUGGUCGGGACACCAUUAACGCAUAAGAGAUUUCUCAGAAGGAAUAGGGGAACCUAUGGUCCAGCCAUAAAAGCUGGAGAAGCCACUUUCCCUGGGCAAGCAACACCAAUCCCACAGCUCUUCUGUUGUGGUGACUCGACUUUCCCAGGAAUCGGAGUGCCGGCAGUCGCAGCCAGCGGUGCGAUCGUCGCCAACACUCUGGUCUCGGUGUCGCAGCAUUCAGAGCUUCUUGACGCUGUUGGAAUUUGAGUGGCAGGCAUGUCCUGGUAAGUGAAAUCAAAUCUCUGUUCAUGAAUACCAUUGCAUUCUGGAGAUAUCAUGCUAAUAAACUUGGCUAAUGGCCACUGAAACUGCAUCAAAUACUUUAUGAUGGAGCUUUUCACCGACAAACAAUGCAUGAAGGUUAAAAUUCAUGGCCCUCACAUGCCGAUUGCCGAGUCAGCUGCGACUCCCGUUAGAAUAAUGAUGUUUCUCCUUCUCACGGCACAGCUCACAUGAACACUUUACAGUAGCAUAUGUGAACUGAUGAAUUCUAGCUGCGAGGCCCGUUUGACCCGGUCAACGAAUGACAGUAGCAUGAUGUGAGUGAUGAACAGAACAGCUAUCCCGGUGGGCCUUUUCAGUGCCCGCUUUCUGUUACCACCACUUGUUUCCUGUUGCUGUUCGUUUGGGCAAAUAGCAUGUGACUGCUUCUUUUGCUACUACAUCAAAGUUUCUCUGGUUGCAGGCAGGCAGAUCCAGUGGAUAUGACUUGUGAGUGCACACUACAUACUCCACAGAAAGACAACCUACAUUUUUCUUGGCUGUUGAAAAGAGCAUCUUGAUGAUGAACAGGAGUGUUACAACAUAUGUGCGUGCGCCCAGUUGGUGCCCGGUCCAGCUGCGACCCCGUUAGAAUAAUGAUGUUGGUGACUAUCUUUGAUACAUUUGGAGUCUCUGCUAAUUUUGACUCUAAGGGUUCGAAUUUUGAUUCCAAAACCAACUGUUACUGUUCAUCAUCCUAUAUUGACAGAAUUGUCAAUUUUUCUGAGCUGAAGGUUCAGAUUAUGUUUACUCCAUUUUUUCACCAAACUCUCAAAACUUCCUUUAUAGAAGUUGUAGAGAACCUAUUUCUCUACAUUUCUCUUAUUCAUCUCAAAAGCCAAAUCUCUCUUUUUCCCUUCCAAAGUUGGUCCUGAAGCUGGCUGCCACUUCUUGCUUUUCACUGAAUUGAAAUUGCAUUGAAUGGCUGCAAUCUCGACAGAACAGUACCAACAUCCUCCAUUUAACUUCGAAUUUCCAUUUAACACUUCAAAUGCCAAUUGUUUCAUGCCAAACUUGGAAAUCAUGCUAAGCUUGACAUGAAAGUUCCAUUUUGGCCAUAAAACCAAAGGUUCAUAGAACAUUUCUCCAAAAUCUCUUGAAUCAUUCAUUCCAUUUAGUACUGUUUUUCAAAGGCAUUUAUGCCUAUUUCCAGUUAGCGAACAGUUACAUCCUCCAUUUCUGAUUUUGGACAAUUUUAGGUCCAUUUGCUUCUCAACUGGCCUCUUUAAGUUCCAAAUGUCCAUAAGAUCCAAAUUCAUGCAUUUGUCAACUUUUCCUGAAUUUGAAUCUCAAUUUGGCAUUUUUGGUCAACAUUUGACUUAAAGUUGACUUUUGCCAAUAAACCUUCUUAGCAUCCAAAUUUUAUCAUUAACCUCAAAAUAACCAUUCUUAAGCCUUUUUAACACCUGGUUGUUACAGAUGUAGAGUUCUAUAGCAUAUAGAACCUCCAUUUCAAAUUACUAUUCGUUUUAAUUUUUCUAGAUACAUAGCUUUUAUUAUGUAUCUAGACAUAUACAUAUAUCUAGGUUCAUAGCAAAAGUUUUAUAUCUACAAAAGUCAAAACGAAUUGUAAUUUGGGACGGAGGGAGUAUAUUGUAAUGAUAGUGAGUACAAAGAAAAUAAAGUUUGAUGACGGUGCAAUGCUGAUGUCAAAUAAUGGCCUAUACAGGUGAUCACGCUCCAUAAAGGAAACAUAAUUCCAUUGCAGCAGCAUCAGACCAUGUAGACCAUGACCAGGCAUAUUGGUUUGGUACACGAGCUUAAAAUACAUUACUUCAUAUCGUUGUGUAAUGUUAACGACAAGUGUAAAACCUUGCACAUAAAGUUUGCCCCAGGAACCAUAAAUUGGACGGAAAACAUGGCAGGUUGGAGCUGUAUGUGGUUAACUACACUUGUGCCCACCUUAUAGGCUGACACGUUCACAUGGAAGUGGUAAAACUGUAUUGUAACUUGUAAGGCAGUCAGCAUGUGAAUACUUUUGACUAAACGAAAGUUGCAGCCUCAAUGUGGCAUUGCUGCACAAAAUUACGUCAAAAGUUAUACAUGGCUACAUGCUUUCUGUAAUGCACUAAACUAAACUACAAUAUGGUGAUGGAACACUGAAAAGGUGCUUUUAAUAAUGAGCAUUUUCCUUGAUAAACGGGUAGUAUACAGUAUACUUUUGGGUACAGAUAAUUUACGGAUUAAUCCACAUGCAAACAGGUUUUCUAUAAAAAAAAUCUGACCAUGCAACAAGCUCCAGAAAUUUCAGCAUUAACCUAUUAUUCUUUUCAUCCAGGACCUGGAAGGAUAUAUUAAUAUUCCAAAAGCUGCAUGUAGAAAAGCUCUACUCAAAUGUUUAUCGAAACAAUCAAACUGAUCCAGAUAUGUGAUGGCAAGAGUUGUAAAGCAUAUCAUCAAAUUGUUCCCAAAGAUCAUGUUAAACAAUGAGUACUAACACAAUAGAAUAGAAGGUGGAUACAAAAACUACAUACAUCAAUUUAGAAUCAAUGAUAAUGACACUAAUGAUAUUUUAAAAAGGAUAAAAAUACAAAAAGAACCUUCAAACCGUGUUCUUUUCUAUUUUUGAUCCCAGUCUCUAUGGGGUUAGUAUGAUUCAGUGCUCUGUGGAUGAGAAUGGCGUGUGAAUACUCUUCAUAGUGCCUACAUUGAUAACCAGGUUGAAAGUGCCAACAAUAUACCCAUAGCUCCCAGACCAUACAGCGCAACAAUGUCAGUAUUCUUGCCCUCCAGCUGUUCAAGCAGAACUUCUGUCCAUCCAUGGGGAAUUAUUUGUGCCUCCUGCAUGUUGCAACUUGUAAAGCAUUAGCUUCUAAAAAAAACUUAAAAGUACGCACGACCCCAUUUCCAUUAUCAUGAUAAUGGAAACCCAACAGUAAAUUGGCAGAACUAGAGAAAGCAGAACCAGAUAGCAAGAAACCUAGAUGCAUCUCAAAACUUUCUCAAGCUAAUAUUCACCUUUUCUCUGUUUAAUCUUCUUGCACUAGCCUCAUUCUUUGACAUGAAAUGAUCAUGUUGAUUAUCUCUCAUGGACAUGGGAACUUCAUCGUCAUGUGCAGCCAAGAAACCUGUGUAGGCUGAAUCUGUGUGGAGAGUCUUCAUGACUGAUCCAAAGAAAUUUGUCACAGGCACCUGAUCGAUGACAGAAGAUAAAGGGAAAAAUAUAUUGUGUGAACAAUUGAGUGGUGAAUUACAAUCAAGAAAUAUAUAGUAAUUCAGAAAUACCUCAUUUAAGGGCCGCUCAUAAAGAUCCAUUCGAUAAUACGCAGUGGACAUCAACAUGGAACGAUCGUAUGAGUUGAAAAGACUGUAAUGUAAGAAAUGAGAACGUUAUUGAAAUACAAAUGAAAAUAAGUGCCUUACUGUGCACAGUUACUCGGCUACACUACUUUUGACAUUUAAACUGAAUAUAGUUGAAUGUUACCCCGCAAAAUUUAGCUACAGAAUUUAUGAUACAACAUAUUCCCAAAGUUCAGUAAAGUCAACCAAAACAAUGUUUGAGAAUGGUAACUGCAGUAAUUUGUUCGCCAAUUUACUAUGGAUUAUUUCAGCAGUCAUUUAAUGUAGUCCUGUAUCCUCUUCAAUCUCUGGUGCCAUUUUCAUCUUAUGUCCCACAGUACAGGCUCCAAUGUUUUUCUCGAACAACGCAGGAGAACUGCGUGUCAUUUCAUUAAGAAAAGAAGUCGUACAAAAUGUACAAAGGUAACAGGAGAGGCCGUAACCUCCCCAGCACACUCCACUCACACUAAGCCACGGUUAGGAAAAUACAGGCUCCAAUGUUACCAUAAAAUAGCAGAUAUGAUAAAAGUUUGCCGAUUGCCAUCAGUGAAUUUCAAUUUCUUAUAUGGUACCAAAGAUAGUGUGUCGAUAUAGCCCUUCUACUAUUAUUGUAUCAUGUGAAAACCAUCAAAUGGAACAACAGACUCAGUCACGUAUUACGAUUCAAUGAGCCAAGUUUUUUUGGAUUCAAUGCACAUCCCAGUAAGCCCUAGAACAGGUAUAACACAUUCUAUAUGAAAAAAAAUACCUUACAGAAAACUUGUAAAGUUGUAAGAACAUCACGUUUGGAAUACAGCAAUUGACAAAUGAACAAUCAUUAUGGAUAACAUAAGCAACAGCAUUUAAAGCAUGUGUUACACUUUUACCUGUUCAGUGAAGCAUUGCUAUACAUGUUCAGUUUCUCAAAGAAAGCAAGUGUAUAAUAGGUAAACCUAUCAACAACAGAAACACCAAUCUGCCAAAAAAAAUAGAUCAGAUUGAUCAGCUUCAUGAAUAAUAGUAAGGCAAAAUAUAUUUGCAAAGUAUCUGCCAACAUUGUAAAUGAAAAGCAUUUACUCACAUCUGAAUCAAGAUGGUGAGAAUAAGAAUUUUCACCCUUCAUGCUGCUACCGAUCGCCAAAACACCAGGUGAAUGAAGCUGCAGAUAUAGGAUAUGUCAGUUUAUGGUUACGGAGAUAUAGUAUUCACAAUUCAGAUAGAGAAAAUGUACUAUGCCACUUCUUGUCUAAAAUUUGUAGUAAUGUCGAUAUAAUCGCAAUGGCCCAACGCGUAUAUUGAACGAAGUAUUUCUAACAGUGAAACAAACCUGUGAAAAGAGAGUAGCAGCUUGGCAAGUAUCUACCAUUAUCAGCAGCUCUUUAAAUCUGAAAAAAAGGGAAGAGAGGUCAGAACCAACUACUGAACAUGAAGAGGGUAAGGCAGCAUCUGAUUGUUGAAAAUUCCUUGAUUUGUACCUAUUGGGGUCUUGUAGAGUAAAAUGUAAACUACAAUAUAAUAAACUGAAGAAGAAUAAACCACCUAUGUUUCUCCUUCAUCUGCUUCACUGCAUCUGCUAAAUCAUGGCUCUGAAGCUCUUCAGAAUCUUGGAACUUCAAAAACUCAUCACCACCAUGCCCAGUCAUGUACAGAAGAAUAUGGCUUCCUUCAUCACUUAGGAGACGCUUUGAUCUUGGUACUGCACUUUCAUGUCUGCCAGUCAAAAUUCUCAAAAAGUUUUCAACUGUUACCUCGUACCCUCGAUAAUCAACCUGUCAUGAAAAAGUAGGAAUGGGUAAAAUUAAAGUAUUGUCAUUUUCUUUUUUUAGCAUAUAGACAGACAAGCAUCAAGUAGUCUAAAGUAUUCUGAAGUGUAGUCUUCUUAGGCACUAUGAUGUUAUGGACUUAUGGUUCAGCAACAAUAAUUUCAGAGUGCAGAGGUCCACCUCAACAUUGUCACCAUAAAGAUUUAGCUGGUGGUUCUCAUUGUUGAAAACUUGGGCAGGAUAACUGUUCCUAGGAUUACAAGCCAUAUCAUCUGCCAACAUAAGUAUGAUCCGCUCGUCAGGUAUUCCUAAUCUCUUAACUGUCCUGAAAGCAACCAAAAAGAAGAAGAAAAGAUACAAUAAGGAAUAAUCUGUAGACAGGACAACUCCAUACAAAUACAGUUCAACAUGCUACCUGUACAAAGACAGAGUAUUCGCCAUAUGUCGAUAAUUAAACCUGGGAACAUCAACAAUAACUGGUAAGCAUUAUGUGCAUAUAAUGCCAAAACAUCAGGAACCUAUAUGAAUGCUAUUGCCAUAUCAGAUUAUGGAGUUUAACAUGGAUCUAUUGCUAACACAGUUAAAUCACCGUAUAAUUGAACAGAUGCAGAUCUAUUGGCAUCUCAACAAGAACUUGAAUAUUCAUAGUUGAAGCAUUUGAACUUUGAACUCAUAGCUUUCGCCCCUGCAUCCCAAUGAGAAGAUGACAGCUUACUCCAAUUACCCCAAUUGAGAUCUCAACUACAAAAUUGAACUACGUUUCGCUAAUAUUCACUGAUACUGCAGUGAAUGAGUAAUGCCAAUAUUGAUUCGGAAGUUCCAGAAUUCCUAAAUGUGGUUGCACACGCAUCAUAAGCAUGAUUAACUCCGCCUAAAUAGAACCAACCAAUGAUCGACGCAAGCAACCCCCAAUACUGCUUGGCUGUACUGACACUGAUUCGCUAGCUAGAAACAGAGAAGCACAAGCCCGACAGCUAGUAACGCUAGGACGAAUCAACAGGUGCGAUCGACUUCCAAUCGAGUCGGAACUUGCAUCAAACGCGCCACUCGCCACGCCCGACGAAAGCACGCGUCCCACCGACCGAUCCAGCACAACCGGACUGGAUCCCCAGCGAGCCGGGCAGACAGGGGCAGACGACGAGCACGGCGGGGCGGUCAAGGUCCUGGCGCCGUGGGCAAGGGGAGGAGGGCUCACCAGAAACGGGAGGUGCAGACGAGCACGGCCCAGUUGUUGUUAUGCAUCGCGGCCGCCGCCGCCGCGGAGGAGGAGGAGAAGGCGAGGAGGAGCACGGGCAGCAGUAGCGCCUUGAGGAGGGUGAGCGCGCGAGGGGGCCGCGAUGGCUUGCGGCUCCAUCUGCCGGACGCCAUGGAAGCUGCUUCUGGUCGGGGAUCGGGGAGGAGGAGAGAGCAAACUCGACGGGGCCGGGGCCGGCGCACGCGACGACGCUCUCGGCUCACACGCUCCCCGUCGUUUCCCACCCUUGCCCUCGGGGGCCCCGCGGGUGGAGGUGGAGGUCGCAGCUGCCUGGGCCUGCGGGAUUGGAAGGUGGGAGGCGGAGGCAGAGGCGGCGGCGGUGGGGCUGUGGGCGCCGGUGGGAGGAGGGAGGAGAGGAUGGAGGCCACGGUGACGGCGGCGGCGUGGGCGAGGCCACCGGCAGGCGCAGGGAGCUGGGGGCGGAGUCGACCCGCGGCGCGAGCAAGGGGGCCCGCGAGCUCAGGGGAGGCGAAGGGUGACGGCGGCGCGGGCGAGGGGGCCCGCGAGCGCGGGGAGGCGGAGGACGGCGGCGGCGGUGGGCAGGAUAAGGAAGAGACAGUGUGGGCAGGGAAGAGAGAGGGAAAAAUAAUAGGGAGAGAAACAAAGUAAGAGAAAAAAAAGAGGAAUAAAAAAGAGAAAAAUAGUACAUUGGAAAAAAGAGAAAAUAAAUUGGAAUGCAGUGCGGCAUCUCAAUAGAUAGUGUCUACGUGAAAAAAGCUAACUAAGUGCUAUCCUCAGUACUGCAUUUCAUAUUUAGAUCCUGUUUGCUUUUAACAUUUUUUUAACACUUCCCUAUCCAAACACUUGUGUUAAAAGUGGGGUGUUAAAGUUUACCACCUCAUUUUUCAUAAACACAUGGAGGGGUGUUAAAACUUGCUAAAGGUGUUAAAAGUGGUCCCCCUCUCCACUUUUUCCCCGGUUACCCCUUCUCUCUCCUCCCUCUCUCUCCGCCGGCCACAAAUGAGGGGGCAAUGGAGUCAUUUCCCACUAAAGGUGUUAAAGUUUAACACAACAUCCAAACAUCGCAAUGUGUUAAAUUUUAGCACUCUAUUUGAGAGUGUUAAAACUUUAACACUUGUUAAAUUUUAACACAGGGUAUCCAAACAGGCUCUUAAACCUUUCUCCAUUCCUUUCAAUUAGUGGCAGACCAUUGAAAUGAUGUAGGCAAAGAUGGAAAAAAAAUACCACCAUGUUGUCUUAUGCAACCUAUUUUUGAGUGGCAUGAUUGUGCCACGUGUCAGUGUAGGCCACUAGAUAAACUUUUUUGUUGCAAAUUUGCAAUGACUGCCAUCAUCCAACCUAAGGUUUGAAGAAAGAUGCAGCUGUUGAAAUCUUGUCGGACAUUAUGUCCUAUUGCAGGUCGUACGUGCAAAGAAAGCAGUUGUUAGCAAUGCAUCUAUGUGGGAUACUUUGGAUCUGCUGCUACCACCAGAUGCUGUCCCAAAAUCAUAUGAAGAUAAAGUGAAAGCAACUCCACAAUGUGAUUCUUUUAUGCAUCUUCACUUGGGUUUUGGUGUAGAGGUAUGCUUCGCCUGAAGUUAAGUCUAGUAAAUCAUUUUCACUAAGAUGUGUUUCUCCGCAUAGGUGAUACGUCUCUUACCAUACCCUUCGGACAUUACUGAAACAGAAUGCGAGAGAGGGCCUCGGUGUCCAUCACAUUGUGGUUGAUAAUUGGAACAAAGGAGUUGAUGGUGAACAAAAUGUUGUGCUGAUAUCCGUUCCUAGUGUUCUUAGUAAGGACCUGGCACCGCCUGGAAAGCAUACUCUUCAUGCAUAUACACCAGGGACAGAACCUUUCCGUUUGUGGGAGGGAAUGGACCGGAAAAGUGCAGAUUAUCGAAGGCUGAAGGAAGAACGUUCUGAGGUACUUGAGUUCCAACUUUGGUUUCUUGCUGCUGUGAUGCAAUGCUGCUAUAGUUCCGAUUUUGAUUCCUUGCUGCCAUCGGUGCCUAGCAGUGUAUUGCAUAAUUUAGAUGUCUCAUCUGUCCACCUCAUUGAUCCAGUUUAGCGCAUGUGCUCAUUUCCAUUGUCUAAGCAAGAUGUGAUAAUGACAGUUAAACAGUCAAGAGAGAAAUGCCCCAAAAGCUGGCACAGAAGUCAUCAAAAUGAGACUAGUUUUUCAAAAGAAGACCACCAUCAACUGUUUCUAAGAAGUAAUAACUUUGCUGCCUUGACUGUGACUGACAUUCUAAUUGCAAACUUUCCAGGUGAUGUGGAAAGCAGUGGAGGCUGCUCUUGGCCCGAAAUUUAGCCGAGAAAAAUGCGACGUUAAGUUGGUCGGGACACCAUUAACGCAUAAGAGAUUUCUCAGAAGGAAUAGGGGAACCUAUGGUCCAGCCAUAAAAGCUGGAGAAGCCACUUUCCCUGGGCAAGCAACACCAAUCCCCCAGAUCUUCUGUUGUGGUGACUCGACUUUCCCAGGAAUCGGAGUGCCGGCAGUCGCGGCCAGCGGCGCGAUCGUCGCCAACACUC